CAUGACAUGAAUAUUUCUCCUCUUUAGUGUCUGUUGGAAUGGACUUAUUUUUGGAAAACACAAGAAGGUGACAUUAGAAGGCAACACUGCAGGGCAAUACAAGACUUGGGUCAAAGGCAGUAGGAAACAGCUGCCCAGGAAUCUUGGGUAAUUUGAAGUUCAUUAAGCCCUU
rnacentral:lncRNA from 1 species